AUCCCUAUGAUGAUUAGCUAAAUACCUGGAAUUACCGUCAGAUUUUCAAGUGACGACAAUUGUCUGGCUUCCUGAGGCUAAG